AGUAUGGUAGUCAGUUGCCUUA
rnacentral:siRNA from 1 species